GUAUGGUGCAAGCGUUAUCCGGAUUUACUGGGUGUAAAGGGAGCGCAGGCGGCACGGCAAGCCUGAUGUGAAAGCCCGCGGCCCAACCGCGGGACUGCAUUGGGAACUACCGGGCUGGAGUGCCGGAGAGGUAGGCGGAAUUCCUAGUGUAGCGGUGAAAUGCGUAGAUAUUAGGAGGAACACCAGUGGCGAAGGCGGCCUACUGGACGGUGACUGACGCUGAGGCUCGAAAGCGUGGGGAGCAAA
rnacentral:rRNA from 1 species